AGAAUCAACGCUGGCGGCGUGCCUAACACAUGCAAGUCGCACGAGAAAGGGGAGCAAUCCCUGAGUACAGUGGCGCACGGGUGAGUAACACGUGAAUAAUCUACCUCCGAGUGGGGAAUAACUGAGAGAAAUCUUAGCUAAUACCGCAUAACACUUACGAGUCAAAGCAGCAAUGCGCUUGGAGAGGAGUUCGCGGCCGAUUAGUUAGUUGGCGGGGUAAUGGCCCACCAAGACGAUGAUCGGGUA
rnacentral:rRNA from 1 species